UUUCCCGUUUUAUCUCCUUUUCCCGUUUUAUCUCCUUUUCCUGUUUUUCCUCCUUUUCCCGUUUUUUCUCGUUUUCCCGUCUUUUCUCCUUUUCCCAUUUUUUCUCCUUUUCCCAUUUUUUCUUCUUUUCCCGUUUUAUCUCCUUUGUCCGUUUUAUCAUUUUUUUUUUAACCUCUUUUUUUAAUCUUUGCAUUUAGAAAUAUUAACUGAAAAUCCAAAGGUUGUUAUAAAAACUAGCAAAAAGAAAAAAAAAAAUAGAGCCAAACGGAAGAAAAAAAAGAAUACAACUAGUAACAAUAAUGUAAACAUAAUAAAAAAUACAAAUAAUGCUAAUAAAAAAAAUGAAAGUUGUAAAAGCGAAGUUAUAGAUCGGUGGGACAAAAAACCUAUGAUAUGUAAAUUUUAUUUUUUGAAAGGUAAGUGUUUACAUAAUGAAAAUUGUGCAUUUUCACAUGCGGUUGAACCUGUAUAUAAGAUGUCUAACUUAUGUAAAUAUUUCGUUAAAGGGGCUUGUUCAAAAGAAAAAUGUUUAUUUUCACAUGACCCAACAAUGUUUUUUUGUCGAAAUAAUGUUUUAAACAAUGCCUGUCACAACCCAACAUGUAAAUUUAAACAUGUUAAAAUUAAUAGUACUGUUACAAGUGUCGAUGAAUAUAAUUUAGAAGUUGAUAAUACAUUAACAAAAGAUGACAAGAUAAGGUUUAUAUAUAAUAAUAAAAAUUAUUUAACUGAAUUACUUCUUAAUAAUUAUGUAUCACACGAUGAACUUAAUCAAGUUGAUGAAAACACAUUUAAACCAAAAGAUCAGUACCCUUGGUUUAUUAAUGGUAUCAUAGAUUUGAUUCGGUUUGAUUUUAAAAUCGCUAGAACAGAUACAUUUUUUCAAAUUCUUAAUAGGUUUAAGCACAUGAGAAUGCCUAUGCCUAUGUCUACAAGUGAAAUUAAUGUAAAUUCUGGUACUACACUACAGAAUAAUAAUGCAUCAGAUGUAUUCAAAAACGAAAACUUUAACAAUAAAAACACAGUUGAUAAUAAUAAUGGUUAUAGGUCCAGUGGUAUUAAUAAUAGUAACAGUAAUGAUGAUAAACAGGUGAAUAAGUUACAAAUGCAUUUAAAUAAUAACGAAAGAAAAGAAAAAACAAAAGGAAAAAAUGCUCAGAGUAAUAAAAU
rnacentral:lncRNA from 1 species